UAUAUUGUUCACUUACAGAACAUUAUGCUGUCAAAAUUCUGACCUUGUUAAAGGUUAAAAAGAAUUGCGAAGUUUCUCACUUCUCUCAAAAAAAAAAUUUAAAUCCAUGCUAGGAAAUCAAGUAUAGUCUAUAUUUACUUUAUCAGUUUUAUCUCCCAUCCUAUAUAAUGUUAUUGUAUAUCAGUAUAUAUAUUUAGUGACUUUUGAGUUUCAUUGCAGAUAUGUUCCUCGAUUUUUAUCAUGGAAUGCCAAACAACUGGGUGUUCAGUGGCUCAUAUCAUAUUCCUGUAAGCUUAGAUUUCAAGUGGAUAGAAAUUCGUAGCGAAAGGAUGGAUGAAGUGUGGAUAUCAGGUCGUAGCGAGAAGAUUAAUGAAGUGAGACAUUGCGUUUUCAAGCCUUUUUCUACAGAAGUUAAUAAAUGGGAACCCCACCAGUUUUCAAGUCCAGAUGUUAUGGAAAAAGCCGUCUCUGUGAUGCGUUGCCUCAAGAUUAACGAACUUGUCAGGAAAAAAAUGUCCUAAAAGGGCGAGUGAAACUGUCAGAACAAGAAAAUGUCCUAAGAGGGCGAGUGAAAUUGAUGCACCAUUAUCAGAUAAAUCAAAGAAGACUAAUAAAAAACACGUCAAAACAAGAAAAUGGCCUCACAAAGAGAGACUAAUCGAAGAAUCUUUAUCAGCAGAGCAUAAACAAACUGAUUGCUUCAUAAGAUUAUACUCGGAAAUGGAAAGUUUGGAAAGGUAUUAUAUGUCUUCUCAAUUUUGCUCAUACUAUAUACCUAAAAUCUUUGUUAUGAUAUGAUAAGAUGAUAUGGGACUCAAUUUAAAGUCAUAGGGCCGUUGCGUUGUUCGCGUCGGCUCAUCAGAACAUCGAUAAGAAGAAUAGCUUUGCAUUUGUAUCUGAGGAGAUACGACGACAGAUGGAGAAUAUCAAAUCACAUAUCCUAACAAACGGGCAAGUUUCUUUAUUAGAUCACACAUAGGUUUUUAUCAUUCCUGUAUAUGUAUAUUAUACGAUGUUAUUAAUUAUUGUAAAGGAAAGUGUAAUAAUCCAGCCAAAUAUACGAGAGAACAUGUAGAAACGGGAAGUUUUUUUGAAAGGGCUGUAGCAUUGUUCUCGUUGGCUCGUAGAAACAUUGAGAAUAGAAUGAAAUCUGGAGCAGAGAUGAAGAAUUCCUCAGAAAUCGUAGCAUGUGUAUCCUCCAAGGAGAUACAUAAAGAGAUGGAGAAUAUUAAGUCCCAUAUCAUUACAAAUAGCAACCAUAUAAAGGUUAAGCUUGAGAAAGACUUUUAGUAUGUUAUGUUACACCCUGACCUUUUAUGUAUUGAUUUCUUGGGUCUUGUCC
rnacentral:misc_RNA from 1 species